CGAGAGAACCAUGUCGAAGGAACUCGGCAAAAUGACCCUGUAACUUCGGGAGAAGGGGUGCUCUCCUAUCUUUUUAUUAGGAAAGCAGCACAUACUAGGGGGUAGCGACUGUUUAUUAAAAACACAUGACUCUGCUAAGUGGUAACACGAUGUAGAGUUUGACAUCUGCCCGGUGCUGGAAGGUCAGAAGGAGAAGUGUGAUAAGCUCUGAAUGGAAGCCCUGGUAAACGGCGACAGUAACUCUAACUCUCUUAAUGUAGCAAAAUUCCUUGUGGCAUAAGUAGCAACCUUGGUGUAACGAUUGCCCCACUGUCUCCAACACGGACCCGGUGAAAUUGAAUUCUCCGUGAAGAUGCGAAG
rnacentral:rRNA from 1 species